AUACGUAGGUGGCAAGCGUUAUCCGGAUUUACUGGGUGUAAAGGGCGUGUAGGCGGUUUGUCAAGUCAGCGGUGAAACGCAAGGGCUUAACCCUUGACCUGCCGUUGAAACUGGCGGACUUGAAUGCGGAUGCUGUGGGAGGAAUGUGUGGUGUAGCGGGGAAAUGCAUAGAUAUCACACAGAACACCGAUUGCGAAGGCAUCUCACAAAUCCGUGAUUGACGCUGAGGCACGAAAGUGUGGGGAUCAAACAGGAUUAGAUACCCUGGUAGUCCACACUGUAAACGAUGAUGACUCGCUGUCGGCGAUAUACAGUCGGUGGCCAAGCGAAAGCGAUAAGUCAUCCACCUGGGGAGUACGACCGCAAGGUUGAAACUCAAAGGAAUUGACGGGG
rnacentral:rRNA from 1 species